CGCUGUUGGGCUAUUGGUUGUAAACUUGAUUCGUUCGGUGUGAGGGGAGGUAUCUUUGAAACAAAUGAACCCUGAGGAAGCUCUACUCGAAACUUUGGACUAAGAUCAGGAGAAAGGGAGGACGGAGCUCCAACACUACCCUCUUCCAUAUGUACGCCAGGCCCCAGACAGCGUUCCCGAGGCUGGGCCCCAGAGCUACCCCAGGGACCCCCAUUUGUGGAGGAACCCUGGAGGAGCUGUAUGGAGGACUUCAAGUGAGAGGGACGGGCUGCAGGCUGCAGGGGCGUCCGGCCAGCGGCAGACGGAGCUGUAGGACCUGGAGUGGGAGCUACACGGCGAGGAGAGGAGGAGGGAGAAGGAGAGGAGGAGCAGGAGGAGGAGGGAGGAGUGGAGGAGAGAGGAGGCCCAUGAGCUCAAAAGAGGAGAGGCCCGAUCACUGCGGGGCACCAGGGCUCUCCACCAGGGCUGGCCCCGGACCUGCAACUGCCCUGGGGGGCCAAGCCAGACAGAGGGGCCCUCUUACACCAGAGCCGCCCCGUACACAAACAGGUCUGUUGUUGAACAUUAUCUGGAGGA